AGUGUUCCGCUUAGCCUAGUGGACAUGGCAUCUGCCCGGUAAGCGGAACACUGUGGGUUCGACUCCCAUCCCUGGACACUU
rnacentral:tRNA from 1 species